rnacentral:lncRNA from 1 species
ACAAUUUAGAUAACAAUUUUAAUGCCUAGGAGGAUCUCAGGGGACAGAUAUACCAGUGGUUAAGGCACUUGACUGGUGACUCAGAUAUGAGUUAAAUUCCUGGCUUUAAGACAAGCUUCUUUGAUUAUUUUGAACAAGUCAUUUUAAGGCCCAGAUCCUCAAAAGGUAUUAGGUGUCUAAUUCCCUUGGAAAUCAGUGGGAUUUAGGCACCUAAAUACUUUUUCAGGAUCUGGGCCUUACACACUCUGCCCCCCUUCUUCAUCUGUAAAAUGGAUACCAGUACUUCCCUAUCUCACUAGUGUGUUGAAAGGACAAAUUAAUUAAUAUUUGAAACAAUUUAAGUAUAUAGAUAAUUGCUAAUAGGAAAAUUAAAUACUUCUGAAGCCAAGCCUGAUUUUGCCAUCCUUACUUAUAUUGAGGAAUGCUUACUUGCAUGAGGAGUAGUCACUGAAGUCAAUGGGACUGUUCACAUGAGUAAUAAUUCGGGAAGAACCAGGGCUGAAGAAUCAAGCUGUUGGGGAGAAGGACUGCAUAACGCACACAGUACAGCUGAAGGUGGUGGACACAGUGAAAUUCUGUCUAGGACUUUUGAACUGAAACAAAAGAUGGCAGGUCCAUUCUUGAGAAUACAGUAGUUGAAACAGAGUUACAGUAGUGUAACUGAGAUCUGAUUUUGGCCCAACAUCUGCAUCAAGGAGUGGAGAUAACAUCCUUUGUCACAAAGAUUUGCUUGGGAAGCUCAUGGCAAUUGCUAGGCUGCUGAUGUGCUGAGACCACAGCUUGUCAUGCUGACCAAUAUUGUCUCUUGGUUUUCUUGUGUUCCCCUCUCGGCUCCAUCUGUUGUCUCUUAUGCUUAGGUUGUAAGCUCUUUGGGGCAGGGACUGUCUUUUUGUUGUGUUUGUACAGCACCUACAACCAUGGGGUCCUGGCUCAUGACUGGGGCAGUGAGGCUGUACAGUAAUACAAAUAAUAAUAAAUGUGUUAAAUUAGUGUUUAAACCCUGCAGUGCCUGGCAUAGGCCAUCAAUCUGAAGUGUAAAAUAAGGACAAG